GGGUUGUGAGGUUAAGCGACCAAGCGUACACGGUGGAUGCCCUGGCAGUCAGAGGCGAUGAAGGACGUGCUAAUCUGCGAAAAGCGCCGGUAAGGUGAUAUGAACCGUUAUAACCGGCGAUGUCCGAAUGGGGAAACCCAGUGUGACUCGUCACACUAUCAUUAACUGAAUCCAUAGGUUAAUGAGGCGAACCGGGGGAACUGAAACAUCUAAGUACCCCGAGGAAAAGAAAUCAACCGAGAUUCCCCCAGUAGCGGCGAGCGAACGGGGAGGAGCCCAGAGCCUGAAUCAGCAUGUGUGUUAGUGGAAGCGUCUGGAAAGGCGCGCGAUACAGGGUGACAGCCCCGUACACAAAAGCGCAUGUGCUGUGAGCUUGAUGAGUAGGGCGGGACACGUGGUAUCCUGUCUGAAUAUGGGGGGACCAUCCUCCAAGGCUAAAUACUCCUGACUGACCGAUAGUGAACCAGUACCGUGAGGGAAAGGCGAAAAGAACCCCGGCGAGGGGAGUGAAACAGAACCUGAAACCGUGUACGUACAAGCAGUGGGAGCCCCACCACUAAGCCAGUGGUGAACUCCACAUACGCAUCCUUUGCGGAAGAUGCGGUUAACGGAGCGAAAGCGACGUUCAACCUAAAAAGAAGCAGAGGGGGCUUAGUGGUGGGGUGACUGCGUACCUUUUGUAUAAUGGGUCAGCGACUUAUAUUCUGUAGCAAGGUUAACCG
rnacentral:rRNA from 1 species